rnacentral:lncRNA from 1 species
CUUAAUAAAUAAAAGAAAUAGCACAACAUUGAGAAUUACUGCCUCUGUUCACAUGGAGUCUAGAUUCAAGGAAGUAUGUGUUGCUUUUAUCUCACCUUGGGAAGUAGAAGAGAAAUGCUGGAAGUGACAAGAUCCAGGAUGCUACUGCACCUAGUUCCUUGGCCUCGUUUCCAGAAACCAGCCAAUCAGGUGAAAGUGGCGGCACCGUGUCUGCACACGAUUCCACGGUACUGUAUCCUAAACUGCAAACAUCAGUCACACUGGGUUCAAAGUCACUGUGGUGGAUUUUUAAAUGAAUGCCCUCCGUAAUAUAAGUGCUGCUCAUCCUCACUGAUAGUUAAGAAAUAUACAUUAAAAGAUGAGAUAUUAUUUUUCAUUGGAUUGGCA